UACGGAGGGAGCUAGCGUUGUUCGGAAUUACUGGGCGUAAAGCGCGCGUAGGCGGCUUUGCAAGUUAGAGGUGAAAGCCCGGAGCUCAACUCCGGAACUGCCUUUAAAACUGCAUCGCUUGAAUCCAGGAGAGGUGAGUGGAAUUCCGAGUGUAGAGGUGAAAUUCGUAGAUAUUCGGAAGAACACCAGUGGCGAAGGCGACUCACUGGACACAUAUUGACGCUGAGGUGCGAAAGCGUGGGGAGCAAACAGG
rnacentral:rRNA from 1 species